UUAGUGGAAGCGUCUGGAAAGGCGCGCGAUACAGGGUGACAGCCCCGUACACAAAAAUGCACAUGCUGUGAGCUCGAUGAGUAGGGCGGGACACGUGGUAUCCUGUCUGAAUAUGGGGGGACCAUCCUCCAAGGCUAAAUACUCCUGACUGACCGAUAGUGAACCAGUACCGUGAGGGAAAGGCGAAAAGAACCCCGGCGAGGGGAGUGAAAAAGAACCUGAAACCGUGUACGUACAAGCAGUGGGAGCACGCUUAGGCGUGUGACUGCGUACCUUUUGUAUAAUGGGUCAGCGACUUAUAUUCUGUAGCAAGGUUAACCGAAUAGGGGAGCCGAAGGGAAACCGAGUCUUAACUGGGCGUUAAGUUGCAGGGUAUAGACCCGAAACCCGGUGAUCUAGCCAUGGGCAGGUUGAAGGUUGGGUAACACUAACUGGAGGACCGAACCGACUAAUGUUGAAAAAUUAGCGGAUGACUUGUGGCUGGGGGUGAAAGGCCAAUCAAACCGGGAGAUAGCUGGUUCUCCCCGAAAGCU
rnacentral:rRNA from 1 species